rnacentral:rRNA from 1 species
GCGGUGGAGCAUGUGGUUUAAUUCGAUGCAACGCGAAGAACCUUACCUGGGCUUGACAUCCCUGGAAUCCCCUGGAAACAGGGGAGUGCCCUUCGGGGAGCCAGGAGACAGGUGCUGCAUGGCUGUCGCCAGCUCGUGUCGUGAGAUGUUGGGUUAAGUCCCGCAACGAGCGCAACCCUUGUCUUUAAUUGCCAUCAUUCAGUUGGGCACUUUAAAGAGACUGCCGGUGUUAAACCGGAGGAAGGUGGGAUGACGUCAAGUCCUCAUGGCCUUUAUGCCCAGGGCUACACACGUGCUACAAUGGGUGGUACAAAGAGAUGCAAUCUCGCAAGAGCAAGCAAACCUCAAAAAGCCAUCCUCAGUUCGGAUUGGAGUCUGCAACUCGACUCCAUGAAGUCGGAAUCGCUAGUAAUCGCGGAUCAGCAUGCCCGCGGUCGAAUACGUUCCGGCCUU